rnacentral:rRNA from 2 species
CAUUACCAGUAUUAGAGGCACUGCCUGCCCAGUGACAUUAGUUAAACGGCCGCGGUAUCCUGACCGUGCAAAGGUAGCAUAAUCAUUUGUUCCUUAAUUAGGGACUUGUAUGAACGGCCCCACGAGGGUUUAACUGUCUCUUACUUUCAAUCAGUGAAAUUGACCUUCCCGUGAAGAGGCGGGAAUACAAAAAUAAGACGAGAAGACCCUAUGGAGCUUAAAUUAAUAUGUUCAACAGAAUUUAAUUAUAAUCCAAUAGGAAUAAAAAUAUUCUAACUGAACAAUAAAUUUUGGUUGGGGUGACCUCGGAGUAUAACAUAACCUCCGAGCAAUUAAACCAAGACUUACCAGUCAAGGCCAUAUAACUUAUUGAUCCAAUCUUAUUGAUCAACGAAACAAGUUACCCUAGGGAUAACAGCGCAAUCCUAUUUAAGAGUUCAUAUCGACAAUAGGGUUUACGACCUCGAUGUUGGAUCAGGACACCCAAAUGGUGCAGCAGCUAUUAAAGGUUCGUUUGUUCAACG